rnacentral:rRNA from 2 species
GCUUACCAUGCAGUCGAACGAUGAUGCCCAGCUUGCUGGGUGGAUUAGUGGCGAACGGGUGAGUAACACGUGAGUAACCUGCCCCUGACUCUGGGAUAAGCGUUGGAAACGACGUCUAAUACUGGAUAUGAUCACUGGCCGCAUGGUCUGGUGGUGGAAAGAUUUUUUGGUUGGGGAUGGACUCGCGGCCUAUCAGCUUGUUGGUGAGGUAAUGGCUCACCAAGGCGACGACGGGUAGCCGGCCUGAGAGGGUGACCGGCCACACUGGGACUGAGACACGGCCCAGACUCCUACGGGAGGCAGCAGUGGGGAAUAUUGCACAAUGGGCGAAAGCCUGAUGCAGCAACGCCGCGUGAGGGAUGACGGCCUUCGGGUUGUAAACCUCUUUUAGUAGGGAAGAAGCGAAAGUGACGGUACCUGCAGAAAAAGCACCGGCUAACUACGUGCCAGCAGCCGCGGUAAUACGUAGGGUGCAAGCGUUGUCCGGAAUUAUUGGGCGUAAAGAGCUCGUAGGCGGUUUGUCGCGUCUGCUGUGAAAUCCCGAGGCUCAACCUCGGGCUUGCAGUGGGUACGGGCAGACUAGAGUGCGGUAGGGGAGAUUGGAAUUCCUGGUGUAGCGGUGGAAUGCGCAGAUAUCAGGAGGAACACCGAUGGCGAAGGCAGAUCUCUGGGCCGUAACUGACGCUGAGGAGCGAAAGCAUGGGGGAGCGAACAGGAUUAGAUACCCUGGUAGUCCAUGCCGUAAACGUUGGGCGCUAGAUGUAGGGACCUUUCCACGGUUUCUGUGUCGUAGCUAACGCAUUAAGCGCCCCGCCUGGGGAGUACGGCCGCAAGGCUAAAACUCAAAGGAAUUGACGGGGGCCCGCACAAGCGGCGGAGCAUGCGGAUUAAUUCGAUGCAACGCGAAGAACCUUACCAAGGCUUGACAUACACCGGAAACGGCCAGAGAUGGUCGCCCCCUUGUGGUCGGUGUACAGGUGGUGCAUGGUUGUCGUCAGCUCGUGUCGUGAGAUGUUGGGUUAAGUCCCGCAACGAGCGCAACCCUCGUUCUAUGUUGCCAGCGGGUUAUGCCGGGGACUCAUAGGAGACUGCCGGGGUCAACUCGGAGGAAGGUGGGGAUGACGUCAAAUCAUCAUGCCCCUUAUGUCUUGGGCUUCACGCAUGCUACAAUGGCCGGUACAAAGGGCUGCGAUACCGUAAGGUGGAGCGAAUCCCAAAAAGCCGGUCUCAGUUCGGAUUGAGGUCUGCAACUCGACCUCAUGAAGUCGGAGUCGCUAGUAAUCGCAGAUCAGCAACGCUGCGGUGAAUACGUUCCCGGGCCUUGUACACACCGCCCGUCAAGUCAUGAAAGUCGGUAACACCCGAAGCCGGUGGCCUAACCCUUGUGGUAA